rnacentral:rRNA from 1 species
UACGUAGGGGGCAAGCGUUAUCCGGAAUUACUGGGUGUAAAGGGUGAGUAGGCGGCAUGGUAAGCCAGAUGUGAAAGCCUUGGGCUUAACCCGAGGAUUGCAUUUGGAACUAUCAAGCCAGAGUACAGGAGAGGAAAGCGGAAUUCCUAGUGUAGCGGUGAAAUGCGUAGAUAUUAGGAAGAACACCAGUGGCGAAGGCGGCUUUCUGGACUGAAACUGACGCUGAGGCACGAAAGCGUGGGGAGCGAACAGG